rnacentral:lncRNA from 1 species
CCUGGACGUCCUGGCAGUUGGCCCUGCCCUGCGUUGGCAGAGAACUUUGGUCGAAGGCCCCGCAGGCCUCCUGCUCUUCCUCUGUGGACCCUGGACCCUGCUCCUCUGUCCUUCCUCCUCCCACUUCAGAAGACCCCGUCCACCAGACCGCCUCCCCCUGAAGCCCAACGUGCAGCAGAGUCCGCUCCUCCAUCCCUGAAGCCUCCUUUUAACUGGGGGAUAUGGCAGCCACCCGUGGAGAGGUCAGAUGACAAAGCCGGCAAGGGCCAGGGAGCGCCCAGGGACAACUGGGUCUCCCUGCUGCCUCCCCAACACCUCCGGGCCUUAAAUUUCCACCCGUUCCAGCUUCUUGACUUGGGGAGCAGUCCUGCUGUGCACACUUCCUCCAACAAGCCGGAGAAAGCUCCCAGGCACAGGUGUGCAUGUGGCACGGUAAGUUUUCUGUAAUCCACUCACCUUUACGGAUUUACCGCACCAGGGGAAAUAUUAUAACAGGCAUUGUUACUUUAGAAAUUCCUGGGCUUCCUCUCCCUUCCUUGCAAGGGCAUUUUUAGAAAGCAUUUCGCCAACAUUCACUAUUUACUACCAUAAAUGUGACUCUGGCCAGCUCUGUCCCUGGGUAAGGCCGGAAUUGACCAUUUUCUUUUUUUUUUUUUUUUGAGACGGAGUCUCGCUCUGUCGCCCGGGCUGGAGUGCAGUGGCCGGAUCUCAGCUCACUGCAAGCUCCACCUCCGGGGUUUACGCCAUUCUCCUGCCUCAGCCUCCCGAGUAGCUGGGACUACAGGCGCCCGCCAUCUCGCCUGGCUAGUUUUUUGUAUUUUUUAGUAGAGACGGGGUUUCACCGUGUUCGCCAGGAUGGUCUCGAUCUCCUGACCUCGUGAUCCACCCGUCUCGGCCUCCCAAAGUGCUGGGAUUACAGGCUUGAGCCACCGCACCAGGCGACCAUUUUCUUAAAAGUUCCAGCGCCCUAAGGCUCCUGGUGGGCAUCUCCGCAGCUGAAGAAGGCUUCUGUCCCGUGCACCCUUCCCCAGGCGGGGGACCCCCAGUUCUGCUGCUCUGGCAUUUCAAAGAACCAAGUCCUCCAAGCUGCUCCACUGCCUCCUAACACUAGCCACGGUCCUCCCUGAACCACAAACCUCCGGCCUCACCCCUGCCUCUCAGGCCCAUGUCUUGCAAUGGACUCUGCCAGUCCACGCAUGCCUGGGUGUGGGGGGGUGCACUUAUGCAGCUGGGGUGAAGACAGGGACAGGGUAAUGUGAGACUCAGAUAUGAGACGCCAGGUGCAAAACUGCAGGUAGAAAGCCCCCUGUAGAGUGCAGGGGUUCAGGGUAGAGGCUCCGGGGUCUGGAAAGAGGUGGGUGUAGCUGUCACCAACCUUUCUCUGCCUUAGCUUUUUUUGUCUCUAAGCGACAGUCAAAAAUAGAACCUAAGGGGUGUGUUAAGAUCAUAAUAGUUGGCCGGGCGUGGUGGCUCACGCCUGUAAUCCCAGCAUUUUGGGAGACCAAGGUGGGCGGAUCACCCUGCGGUCAGGAGUUCAAGACCAGCGUGGCCAACUUGGUGAAACCCCGUCUCUACUAAAAAUACAAAAAUUAGAGGCAUGGUGGUGGGUGCACCUUUAAUCCCAGCUACUCCGGAGGCUGAGGCAGGAGAAUUACUUGAACCCGAGAGGCGGAGGUUGCAGUGAGCCGAGAUCGUGCCAUUGCACUCCAACCUGGGUGACAGAAUGAGACUCUGUUUAAAAAAAAAAAAAAAAAAGAGAUCACAAUAGUUAGCAUUUACAAAGCGUUGGGAAUUCUACUUGGCAC